rfam:Schistosoma curassoni strain Dakar, Senegal genome assembly, scaffold: SCTD_scaffold0005369
AUUCGGCUGAUGGGUCCCAAAUAGGACGAAACAUGCAUCCUGGAU